GACGUGACUUCAGAGUUUGAUCCUGGCUCAGGAUGAACGCUAGCGGCAGGCUUAACACAUGCAAGUCGAGGGGCAGCGUGAAGAAGUAGCAAUACUGAUUUGACGGCGACCGGCGCACGGGUGCGUAACGCGUAUGCAACCUACCUCUAACAGGGGAAUAACACUGAGAAAUUGGUACUAAUACCCCAUAAUACCUUAGGAGGCAUCUUCUGAGGUUGAAAGUUCCGGCGGUUAGAGAUGGGCAUGCGUUGUAUUAGCUAGAUGGUGAGGUAACGGCUCACCAUGGCGACGAUACAUAGGGGGACUGAGAGGUUAACCCCCCACACUGGUACUGAGACACGGACCAG
rnacentral:rRNA from 1 species